GAUGAACGCUGGCGGCGUGCCUAAUACAUGCAAGUCGAGCGAAAAGACGAGGAGCUUGCUCCUCUGACGUUAGCGGCGGACGGGUGAGUAACACGUGGAUAACCUACCUAUAAGACUGGGAUAACUUCGGGAAACCGGAGCUAAUACCGGAUAAUAUAUUGAACCGCAGGGUUCAAUAGUGAAAGACGGUUUUGCUGUCACUUAUAGAUGGAUCCGCGCCGCAUUAGCUAGUUGGUAAGGUAACGGCUUACCAAGGCCACGAUGCGUAGCCGACCUGAGAGGGUGAUCGGCCACACUGGAACUGAGACACGGUCCAGACUCCUACGGGAGGCAGCAGUAGGGAAUCUUCCGCGAUGGGCGAAAGCCUGACGGAGCAACGCCGCGUGAGUGAUGAAGGUCUUCGGAUCGUAAAACUCUGUUAUUAGGGAAGAACAAAUGUGUAAGUAACUAUGCACGUCUUGACGGUACCUAAUCAGAAAGCCACGGCUAACUACGUG
rnacentral:rRNA from 1 species